rnacentral:rRNA from 1 species
AAAUUGAAGAGUUUGAUCAUGGCUCAGAUUGAACGCUGGCGGCAGGCCUAACACAUGCAAGUCGAACGGUAACAGGAAGCAGCUUGCUGCUUCGCUGACGAGUGGCGGACGGGUGAGUAAUGUCUGGGAAACUGCCUGAUGGAGGGGGAUAACUACUGGAAACGGUGGCUAAUACCGCAUAACGUCGCAAGACCAAAGAGGGGGACCUUCGGGCCUCUUGCCAUCAGAUGUGCCCAGAUGGGAUUAGCUAGUUGGUGAGGUAACGGCUCACCAAGGCGACGAUCCCUAGCUGGUCUGAGAGGAUGACCAGCCACACUGGAACUGAGACACGGUCCAGACUCCUACGGGAGGCAGCAGUGGGGAAUAUUGCACAAUGGGCGCAAGCCUGAUGCAGCCAUGCCGCGUGUAUGAAGAAGGCCUUCGGGUUGUAAAGUACUUUCAGCGGGGAGGAAGGUGUUGUGGUUAAUAACCGCAGCAAUUGACGUUACCCGCAGAAGAAGCACCGGCUAACUCCGUGCCAGCAGCCGCGGUAAUACGGAGGGUGCAAGCGUUAAUCGGAAUUACUGGGCGUAAAGCGCACGCAGGCGGUCUGUCAAGUCGGAUGUGAAAUCCCCGGGCUCAACCUGGGAACUGCAUUCGAAACUGGCAGGCUUGAGUCUUGUAGAGGGGGGUAGAAUUCCAGGUGUAGCGGUGAAAUGCGUAGAGAUCUGGAGGAAUACCGGUGGCGAAAGCGGCCCCCUGGACAAAGACUGACGCUCAGGUGCGAAAGCGUGGGGAGCAAGCAGGAUUAGAUACCCUGGUAGUCCACGCCGUAAACGAUGUCUACUUGGAGGUUGUGCCCUUGAGGCGUGGCUUCCGGAGCUAACGCGUUAAGUAGACCGCCUGGGGAGUACGGCCGCAAGGUUAAAACUCAAAUGAAUUGACGGGGGCCCCGCACAAGCGGUGGAGCAUGUGGUUUAAUUCGAUGCAACGCGAAGAACCUUGCCUGGUCUUGACAUCCACAGAACUUUCCAGAGAUGGAUUGGUGCCUUCGGGAACUGUGAGACAGGUGCUGCAUGGCUGUCGUCAGCUCGUGUUGUGAAAUGUUGGGUUAAGUCCCGCAACGAGCGCAACCCUUAUCCUUUGUUGCCAGCGAUUAGGUCGGGAACUCAAAGGAGACUGCCAGUGAUAAACUGGAGGAAGGUGGGGAUGACGUCAAGUCAUCAUGGCCCUUACGACCAGGGCUACACACGUGCUACAAUGGCGCAUACAAAGAGAAGCGACCUCGCGAGAGCAAGCGGACCUCAUAAAGUGCGUCGUAGUCCGGAUUGGAGUCUGCAACUCGACUCCAUGAAGUCGGAAUCGCUAGUAAUCGUGGAUCAGAAUGCCACGGUGAAUACGUUCCCGGGCCUUGUACACACCGCCCGUCACACCAUGGGAGUGGGUUGCAAAAGAAGUAGGUAGCUUAACCUUCGGGAGGGCGCUUACCACUUUGUGAUUCAUGACUGGGGUGAAGUCGUAACAAGGUAACCGUAGGGGAACCUGCGGUUGGAUCACCUCCUUA